AUUUGAGUAGUUUAAUAUAAAAUUUUGGAUUGUGGAGCCAAAGAUGCAUAUUAUUUGCCUUGAAUC
rnacentral:tRNA from 1 species